AGUGGUCAUCAGUAGGCUUCGGACUUAGCAGUUACUGUGACUGGUCGUGCCUCUCAGCCUGUUUACAGGUGCAGAAAGGCUGUAUUGCCAUCAGCCAGUUCAGCUGUUGUCACAGCACUUUGAUAAGGAAAUAAUAAUUUUGAAAAUGCAUCAGACUGUUUUGCGUUCCUAACUUUAUGAACUUACUACUGUAGUGGAAACAAUAUGCAUGGACAGUUGCAAUAUGGGUACCCUACUGAAUAGGUUGGAGGGUGAUUGGCCAGUGUCUUACAGGAAAGUGAUACUAGAACAAAGUUUUACUUGUUUUCAUUUCUCUAUAGGCAAGCAAAUGUACACCUGGGACCACCAUGUUCAAGGGACAUCAAGAGGAAACGAAAGCCAGCUGCAACCUCCAUGUCCAGCCCAACAUCAGCAACUUUAUCUGUCCACAUGGAUGCAGCAGAGUCAGAGCUACCAGCAACACCGUCCCUGAGAUCCCAGAACUCUGAAUCGACAGGGAAAACACCAGCAGCCGAGAAAGCCACUAUUGCUGCCUCCAGUAACUUUUUUAAAAUGCCACCAGAGAAGAGCCCUGGAUACAGCUAAAAAGCAGCAUUGCAACUGUAAAAGCUUGGAUUUUGGAAGUGUUUGACUCUGUGUGUCUCCACCAAACAUCUUGUUUGGUGGUAGUGAUAAUCUUCAGUAUUGGCGCGUGAUGCCUGGCAUCAUCCAGACUGAUCUGUGUGCCCUACACACCUAAACCAUGUUUGUGAAUCUGUGUUUAAAAAAAAAAGGUAAUUGGUGUUGGGACCGCAGUAGCUUUUAAAAAUAUUCUUGCUAUUGUUGUAUUUAUUAUGCAUUCAUCUCUUUCCCUGCUGCCAGCUCAUAUAUGCUGGGUCUUGUACAGAUUCUUCUGGGUUUUCGGAUCUUUAUUCACCCCCUGGACAUGUUGCUUGUUUGUGCAUUUAGUGUUUUUUAGGCGAAAGUCCCCCUGCCGCUCAGGGAGGCAAAAGUCUCCCCCUGUUUUUUUGGCUGGGGAAUGAGGAGGGAAUGCAAACAAGUUGAAACAUGAAACCUGAAUUCUGCAUUAGCAGAAUGUUUUCAGGCCAUGUGCUAAUGGACUCAAAUCAUGUUGCUUCUAGUGAAGCAAAUACGGUGCUUGUCCAUUCAGAAAUUGCCAUUGGCUCCCUGGCAGCAUGAUCUGUUAGACCUUUUCCUUCUCCCUUGUUCUGAAUGUCUUUAGUCUUGCUUGUGUAUUGCAUGGUCUUUCCUAAAUCUCCUACUGGAUAAGGAAUUGGGAAAACUACUUGGACAUAAAUGUCCAAGCUGGUGUAUUCGAAGGGAACCUGGGCCCUUAAUAUCCUUGCAGUAUGGUAGAGGAUAUACAAAAUUCCAAUUUCUCAGUGUAUAAAUUACAAAAUGACUGUUAGCGUUUCUAAAGGAUCCUUGCCAUAGAAGUUAACAUGCCAUUGAACAAAAAAGCCAUUUAAAGUAUCACCUGAGUUCAGAAUAUUCUGGGUAUUGAUCAGACCACUUCUGUCUCAGUCCUUCCCUCCCUUCAGAAAGUAUUGUCUGCUCUCUCUUCUAGAGGUGUCUCCACCUACUGAUGAUUGUAUUUUGGAGCAUACACAAAAGAGAUUCUCUUCUCUUCAUAGCACUUCCACUUGUUCCCCUGUUAUUUUGUGUUGCAGAAUAUGGUGAUUUCUUCCCUCUCUUUUCUUGAAUUCUUGAUCGCACUCCCCUUACUUUUAAUUACUCUGUCUGAGGCUUAUUUUAAGCUAUGUUUUUAGAAUGUAUUCCUGCAUAGCUUGUGUCAAGGAACAGAUGGCCUCAUGGCUUCAGAAGUCCUUAAAAAGUAGGAUAUAUUUGUAUGCAUAGAACUUUUUUUGGUUUCUGUACUGGGUGGAGCUUUCAAACAAUAGCUUUUAAGCUUAUAAAUUUCAUUUUGAAUGUGGAGGUGCAGUUAGCACUUUUAAGUAGAUAAGAAAAUUUGCAUGGUUUUAGUGGUUUCAGAGUGUUCUGCUCUCCCUUAUCAUGAAAUAGCUGAGGGAAAGACUUGAGGUUGAGAAUAUAAAGCAGUGAUUUAUAUUUAACUCUCUAUUAAAAUGUUAAAUGCUCAUAACAUACACAAAAAUUGAAUGACUCGCUAAAUCAUGAUUGACAUAUAGUUAUACUAUAGACACACUGUCAGUGUCUCAUCCCCUAAAUACCUACUUAUUCUUGGGGAGACAUCUAAAUUGGAUUUAUAUUUCACAGCCCAAGCAAACUGCCAGAUCUGUCAUUGUAAAUCCCUCUCAAAACUGUUUUUUUUGGUGGUGGUACAUUUUUAGAACUAAUUAGAACAGGGAAAGCCUUUUUACCUUGCUGAAGGAGUACAGAGGUCUGUUUGGAUUAUGUAACAAGCUGUAAGGGUUUUGUGGAGAGAGGAGUGUUCCUGUUUUAAAGUAGUCAUUGAAUUGUCUUAUUUUGUAGGUAUUUUGAGCAGUGGUGCUUAAGAGGUGGCAGAGGAAGUCUUGGCACUGUACGGGCCUGGAGAUUACUGAAAUUACUGGAGGGUCUGUAAUUUAGAACAUUCAAAGAGAAGGUAAACCUGAGGAGUAGUAGCUUGACUAUCUAGUACUUAUGAACGCAGUGAAGGGGAAAGGUGGUCACAUUCUCCUGACAACCUGCAAAUAUAUUUUAGGAUUGGCAGCCUCAUAACCUAACUUUCAGGCUGCUUCAGUGACAGGGGGUGGUUCUCUAAAAUGUAUUUGUGCAAUUGAGUGGCUUUAUUCUCUGCAACCUCUCUUGGUUUGAGUCUUUUCAUUAAACUUCUUCAGAUUACUGAUCAUUUAGCUAAAAUUUUAAGUUUUGGCCUUUGUGUUCCGCUUUCUAAACCAGAUUCUGUUAUAUCCUGCUACAUUCUGAGUGUUGUUCAGAGUAGUUCUGUUUCUUCUGUGGUGUCAGGACAGUUUUAAAACUUUUAUAAGAGAGGUGUUUGGGAAUCUUCAUUGUGGCAGUGGAGGGGUUGCCAGGCUUCACAUGAUUUUCUCUAGGAGCAGGAAAGAUAACUUAUCAGAUUUUCCUAUUGGUGUCAGUAGCACUGUUCAUCUGGUUAAGCCCUUAUGAAGGUUCUGAGCUCCUAGGAGGUCUUCUUGUCUUUAAAGGUUGAAUGUACCUAUGGCAGUACUGAAGAGUAACUGUGGCAGGUCUUGCCUUGGUAAGCCAUACUUCCUGCCAUGGCAACUUUCUGGAAGUGCCAGGAGACUCAAGUUCUUGUAGUUGCCCUGUCUUUCCUGUUUCUAGGUUAGAAUCCAUUUACAGGUCAGUCAGGUUCUCAACCAAACUUGAUUUCUCCUGAGUGGCAGACAAGCUAAAUGAAUCAUGUACUUGUUACUCCAGGAUAUUUAUCAAAAUUUAUCUUCAGACUGAAGUAGCUUGAUACAGAUUUGAAUAUCUUCAGCAUUCUUAGAUGAACUACGUGCACUGUUCUGUCUCUUUUCCUCUAAGGCAGAUUCCUUAGAACACACAGUGUGCUCACAGUAUUUGCAGUGAAGGACACGGUGCUUCAGAUGUGGAUUACUUGAGUAGAAAGAAAUAAUAUCAUGCCUUGAUUUGGUAGCCAUACUUCUACUAAGGCGGUCCAGUAUGUGAUUAUUGCUUCAAAGAUACACAGCUCACUCAUAUUCUGCUUCUUGUCCACCAGGACUCCUCAGAAUUUUUCCAGGCUUGUCUUCUCUCUAAUUGUCUUCUCUUCUUGUCGUUAUCGAACACUUCAACUUCCCAGGUAUCAACUGGGAAUACCAUACUGAUGUGACAGGCAAGUCUGGGAAAUUCCUGAAGUAUGUUAAAGAUAAUUUCUUGUCUGGUGAAGGUAAUUUCCUGUAAGUACUCAGUGAGUCAACUAGGAAAGAUGCCCUUCUGGACUUGUUAUUUGUGAAUAGAGAAGGACUUGUGGGAGAUGUGAGUGUAGGUGGCUGUAUCGGCUGCAGAGAUCACAAAAUAGUUCAGUUUAAAAAUUUUGAUAUAAUGAGAAAAAUGGUCAGCACAGUUGCUACCCUGGAUUUCAAGAGAGCUAACUUUAAGCUACUAGUGAGCUAGUUAGCAGUGUCCCCUGCAGAUCUGCUUCUGAGGGCUUAGGGAUCCAUGAGUAAUGGUCAGUUUUUAAGAACCCCCUUUUAAAAGCUGGAGAGCAGGCAGUUGCUUUGUGUUGAAAGUCCAGCAAGCAGCACAGAAGACCAGGUUGGCUGAACAGGGCAUUCCUCUUGGAACUCAGGAGGAAAAAGAAAUUGUAUGGUCCUGGGAAGCAAGGUCAGGAUUUGCAGGAAGAUUAUAGAAUCAUAGAAUGGUUUGGGUUGGAAGGGACCUUUAAAGAUCAUCUAGUUCCAAUCCCUAUGCCAUGGGCAGGGACACCUUCCACUAGACCGAGUUUCUCAAAGCCCCAUCCAACCUGGCCUUGAACACUGCCAGGGAUGGGGCAGCCACAACUUUUUUGGUCAGCCUGUUCCAGUGGCUCACCACCGUCACAGUAAAUAACUUAUUCCUCAUAUCUAAUAUAAGUCUACCCUCUUUCAGUUUAAAGCCAUUUCCCCUUGUCCUAUCACUACACACAAUUGUAAAAAGUCCCUCUCCGGGUUUCUUGUAGGCCACUUUAUGCACUGGAAGCUGCCCUGAGGUCUUUCCAGAGCCUUCUCUUCUCCAGGCUGAACAAGCCCAACCCUCUGAGCCUGUAUUUGUACGAGAGGUGCCCCAGCCCUAUGAUCGUUUUUGUGGCCCUCCUC
rnacentral:lncRNA from 1 species